rnacentral:rRNA from 1 species
AUUUAAAUAAAUGAAGUAUUAUAAAUAUUUUAUAGAAACUUUUAUAUAAUGGCGGCAUUAAAAAUUAGAGGAACUUGUUUAUUAAUAGACAAUCCACUUUAAAUUUUACCUAAAUUUAAAAAUUAUAUACCACCAUCUAAAGAUUUAAUUUAAAUAUAUAAUCACAAAAAUAAUAUAAUAAGUUAGGUAAAGGUCUAGUCAACAUUUAGGAUUAAACGUGUUACAUUAAAUAUUAUUUAAGGACUUUAUUUUAAAAUUAAAUAAAAAAGGAUUUAAAAAUAAUUAUAAAAUAAUAAUUUAUAAUGAAUAUUUAUAAAUGUGU